rnacentral:ncRNA from 1 species
CGACGUCGCGCGGGAGAGACCGGGUUGCUCAUACGCCGCCCGGCACCGAAGGAGCAAUUCCUCCCCGGAACCUCUCAGGUACCAAGGACCGCGCGAAGAAG